rnacentral:rRNA from 1 species
CACGUAGGGUGCGAGCGUUGUCCGGAAUUAUUGGGCGUAAAGAGCUCGUAGGCGGUGUGUCGCGUCGGCCGUGAAAACCUGCAGCUUAACUGUGGGCGUGCGGUCGAUACGGGCAUCACUGGAGUUCGGCAGGGGAGACUGGAAUUCCUGGUGUAGCGGUGAAAUGCGCAGAUAUCAGGAGGAACACCGGUGGCGAAGGCGGGUCGCUGGACCGGUUCUGACGCUGAUGCGCGAAAGCGUGGGGAGCAAACGGG